ACCUUGCGGAAGGAUCAUUA
rnacentral:rRNA from 2 species